AACGGCCGUACCAUGCUGAAUAUACCGGUUCUCGUUAGAUCACCGAAGUCAAGCAUCAUUGGGCGCGGUCAGUACUUGGGUGGGUGACCACCUGGGAACACCGCGGGCCGU
rnacentral:rRNA from 1 species